GAUGAAGAACGUAGCGAAAUGCGAUAAGUAGUGUGAAUUGCAGAAUUCAGUGAAUCAUCGAAUCUUUGAACGCACAUUGCGCCUCCUGGCAUUCCGGGAGGCAUGCCUGUUCGAGCGUCAUCAAACCCCAUCGUGCAAAUGAAUUAUUUUUUUUGCGCGGAAGUGACGAUUGAGCGAGAAUAACAAAUCCUCUCGCACCUCGUCGAAAUGAUUGCGGGCGGAAUUUGGGAUCGGGUUCCUCGGCGUAGUGUAUCAAUGCAUAUUUAUGCAACUUGCCGCGGAGUUGAGCCUGACCCACGCGUUCUCGCCGUACAAACACCUCAUUACUUUACAAGUUUUUGACCUCGGAACAGGUAGGGAUACCCGCUGAACUUAAGCAUAUCAAUAAGCGGAGGA
rnacentral:misc_RNA from 1 species